rnacentral:misc_RNA from 1 species
AGUAGGUGCAGGAUUCUGAAGAUGGGUGUGCAACAUUGGGAAUAUUUUGGCUCAAUUUCAGAGUUCUAGGACAUUUUUUAAGAUAUAGUGUAAUGGUUGUGGCUUGUUGCUAAUCUUCUUUUAUUUGUUUUGGCAAAGUGCAUUAAAUGAAUAUAUAUUCAAGUAGUUGAAUAAAAUUAACAAAUGCAAUUAAAUAAUGCUCUAAUUUGCUGGCUAUCUUAUAUAACAGCAAUUUUUUCCUUUAUUAAUUUAACCUUGAGGCAGUAUUACAUAGCUUUCCACUAGUUGGCUUUUCAGUUCACCUUUCUAUAAUCACAUUACUUCAUUUUAUGUCACUUUAUUUUAUUUCUGUAACGUGCAGCUUCUGGAUGAGAAAAGGUGG